CCGUGGGUGAGGUUCCCGAGGCAGCAACCAAAAGGCAUCUGGGAAACCCAGGAGGAAGGGAAGUUUGUCCAUAUCUCACUUCAAGAGGGGAUUUCUUCAGCCUUUGCCUGUUGAUAAGGGGAGAC